ACAGUUUGUGCUUAUAUUUGGUUCGAUUGUAUUGAUGUGUGCUUCGUCUCUGACACCUAACCUUGCUAGAACAUCUGAAAAACUCGCAUUCAUCUUUUCUCUUUGAUCUUCGGUGCUCUAACUCCGACAACCUCUUGAGAUUUAUAGAAACAUAUUUGAUUGAGAGUGUAGAGAGAACGAAGCCGAUCCUGUAGUCGCAGAUCAUGUAGUCGUUGCGAUAGAUCUAUGUUGAAAGUCAAGGAAAAACAAGAGAAAAACUUUGAUUUCGAUGGAGUAAUGAAGUUCUGGAAAGCUUUGAUUGUUAUGGAGAUGCUAAAAAAAUUGAUAAGGUGUGGUUGGUGGUAGCGAUGGUUGAUUGUAGCAUAUGGUAGUUGGUGAUGUUGAUGUCGGUGUUGGUGGUAGAGUAAGGAUAUGUUGCAUUUCUCACUCAUCUUCUUCAUUGAGUUCAGAUAAGUUAUCCUUUUUUGAUGAUUGAUGUAUAUGUUAUUCCUUAGAUGUUUGCUUUUGAAAUAUGACAUAAUUUUUGUAUGUAUUAAAUUGUGAAUGAUAUAUGAGAUUAUACUUGUAAAUCACCUUUGAAUGUAUUGUAUUAAGCUGUGAAUUUUUUGUAUUAAAACUUUAAACUGUGAAUUUUAUCGAAGGCUCAAUAUAUUAUAUUCACAAUCUAA